rnacentral:lncRNA from 1 species
CGGAGCUGAACAAAGAUGUUUUUGAAAUACUGACUUCUGGACCCGACAUGUCCUCAAACUCUGAUAGAAACUUUAAAACACCUUCAAGAGACUUUUGGUUGAUUGCAAGAUUUUGAGUCUUGACUUUAUUAAUAACAAAAAAUUUCGAGUUUCACAUCUAAAUCAUCAGCUAGAAGUUGAAAUACACCAUCAACAUAUU